rnacentral:rRNA from 1 species
UUUAAUGGCCACACCAGUGUGAACGUGCCUGAUCUCAUUUGAUCUCGAAAGCUAAACACACUCGGGCUCAGCCAGUACUUGGAUGGAAGACCGCCUGGGAACCCUGAGCGCUGUAAGCU